rnacentral:lncRNA from 1 species
ACAUAGCGACUGUCGGUCGCUUUUUCGGCAACGAAAGUGAAGACGAAAGCGAAGCGGAAAGCGACGAGGAAAGGGAAGACGCUUCCGGGCGACGAGUCCCGCGAGAAGACGCUGGAGACGAUGGCAGAGAAUGCAGCUUUGCUCCGGCUACCGCCGAUGCAACCGCCACGGCCCCGAGAUUGACCGAACGGAAACGGCGAAACUUCAGCGCUACAAGUUGUCUGGAAACGGGAAAACAGAAAAGAGCCAAAAGCACCGAAACUUCAAAUUGGAAGACAGAAGCCACAGUCAGCGGGAUGGUCAUGGACGAGCGGGUACCAAGACAGACAAGGUGCACAUACAUAUUACAGCUCAUACUGAAAAUCAAUUUGUCUGGAAAUGAAAAUGGGGGCAUCCGCUCGUGGAGACUGUUUUUAACAAGUUGCUGAGAGAGACUGGAGGCGGAAAGGCAAGACGGAGUUAUCCCUGUAGGCACACAGUUCAAAAUCCGAAGAGAAGAUGUUAAAAUUGAACAGUCCCAGCCGCUGCAGGUGUUGGAAAGGUACCGUUGUUCAAAUGGGAUUUUUCGAGAGGUUUUGUCCCUUGGUUUGAAGCUAGAUUACCUUUCCGAGUUCGUCCACCGAUUUCGUGAAGGUUUGACAAUGUAGACCUCUUCAAAUAGUGCAAUGCACAGAAACAAGAGGGAGGCGGUGAACGAUGUGAAAGAGUCGAAUACCGUGCAGAUGAAAGUGCCUCCGUGCUGAAGAAGUUGGAAAGCAAUCAGAAACUCCGAGAGCAACAGCCGCCCAGUCAGCAGCUCCUGGUAGUUGUCCAAGUGCUGCCCUGUCACUGUCUUCUUUGCUGACAGAAACGGAAGAGACGCAGGAAUCUAGAGAAGCCAUGCGGAAGGAGGAAUUGGGGGGAGUCAACGCAGUCCAGAAAACGCAAAUAAAGAGGCGUUCCAUACGAUAUGGAUAUCUCUCUUUAGAUCCAAUUCGAACCAAGCUUACGUGUAUCGCUCCACGUAGAAGGGGUGUAUGUCGGGACAGCAGGGCACAAAUAUAGAGAGUGCGUGUCUGCCAACAAAGCGGCUGUCGAUUAGUGACGUAUCUCAGGAGUCAAAGGGAGAAACACAUGUUUGCCGGUAGUUUGUUGCCAGGGUGUUGGUGCAUGUCUAAAGGUCUUGUUGGAGAGGACACAAGAAAGUGCUACGGCUAAUGCAGAAAAAUUAUCAACUGACCACGACACGCUCAUACCCUGACCUUUGCACGAGGCGGUGCACAGGUGAUGCUAGGUCGAUCUGAAGUACAGACGGAUCAAUCUCUAGUACUGUCUAUCUCUGUAGAUUUCGAUGUACGUGUCGGUAAAUAUAUAUAUAUAUAUAUACAUAUAUAUUUAUGCCAUCGAUUUGCAAAUAUGUGG